GGGAAGCAUGGGCUGGGGGAUGCGCCACUCUGCCGCCUGGCCUGUGGAAACCUCUUGCUUUCCAGGAGGCGGACCCCAGACAGUUCCUGAGCACUCAGCCCCGAGGACAACAGGACAUCACCUCUCCGCUGGCCCAGACCCUGUUUCUCCAUCUACGCAGGCCGAGUUUGCCUUCUCAGCUGUGUGGGAUACUGUUGGUUCCAUCUGAAGACACCAAAAACAUUCACCCUUUGAUGUUUGUGCUUAAUUUUUGAAUGCAAAAUAU
rnacentral:lncRNA from 1 species